GAACGAAUGGCAGCCCUAAUGUUAUCGUGCAUUUACGAAACGUCACUGUUUUAUUAUAUCAACAUGAGGAACAGUGGCGUGCCAACCCUAUUGUAUUUUUUUUCAGCUUUAGGUUAGCUUUUAGGCCCCCUUAAACCCCUUGACAAAUCUUGGCUACGCUACUGCUGAGUAGUAAAUAGUGUACUACAUCACCAUAGUUGUAACCUGACCACCAACUUUGGCGGUGCUGAAAUCAUGGACGCGUCAAAUGCCCACGGAGACUACGCCCCUACAAUUUCGUUUACAAUUUUUCUAUGCACAAAUUAAUCAUAAAUAUUACUUCAACAUUAUUUUUCAUACACACGUCAUUGUCUGUAUAGGAAAUCUGUAUUUUGUUCUGCUCAUUAACCGUGAAUAAUACACGAGUAAAAUAUUAAUUAGUCGUUACUUUGAAAAAGCUGAUGGGGAUUUUUUUUUGAGGGGGGUUGCUAAUUUUAAACUCGGAGAUGUUAAAAAAAAACCCAGAACCCCCUAGUUGCUCUUAUGUACAUCACUAUGAUAUUAAAUACCUGACGUUUGUAUAAUAUGGAGAUUAUCUGGUCAUCGGCAAAACAGCCGGCCCGAGAGUUCGUAUUUACUCGUAUUAUAUAAUAUAAUGAUCACCACUUCCCUUACCGCGAUUAUUCAUUCGUUCCCGGUCGAUAUUAUUUAUCUCGUGUCUAUAUUAUUAUCGAGCAUCUAUAUCCCCCGCGAUAAGAAUUGCGACGAGUUUAUCGAAAAUAUAAUACCAUGCGGAUUACUAUGUUAUUAUCACGCCUGUGAUGCAUUCGGUGUUUCGCAAACAAAUGUGUCGGCGCGUUCGAUAGUUCGCAGUUGAGCGACGUUCGUACCUGUACAAAACCAAAAAAAUUGUCCAAAAAGAUUACGGUAAAAAAAAAAAAAAAAAACGAAAAUCAAAAACGAUAUUUUAUUGACGACGACCGAACGGAUAAACGAAAAUACUCUCUAUAAGUAUAACAAUAAUCGUACAAUAUAUUAUUAUGCACGUGCGUGUAGCGUCUAGUCCGUCCAUAAAUAUAUGCUUACCAAACGAUUCUAGUGUGAAUGUAAUCAUGUAGCCUCUUAUAAAUUUGUUUUUUUACAUAGAGGUGUACGCAUUAUAGUGUACUAUUCUGAACCCUCCCCCUUUCCCAAAAAUCUAAUAGUAUAAUAUAGAUAUUUAAGUAUAACAUAUAGUAUUAAUAUUAAAAAGGCUGCGCGGGAAAAAAAAAAAACGAAUAAUAUACGUAUUUGAAAGACAAUGUUACGAAUUUUCGAAAUUACGGUUGUUUAUCAACAGCGGCCGCAGGGAAGUGUGAACGUCGUGGUAAAACGAGACAGGCACAGCGACUGAGUGGGACUGCGAAUCGGGGCCGCGCGUUUUACCCAUAUAUGUGUUAAGUUUACGCGUAAAAAAAUAAUCUGUAUUCUGUUUAAAACAUAAUCUAUGUUCGUUGAUCGACGAUCACAAUUUUCACGUGUUCUCUUCCUUAUUGUUUACGGUUAUUAUUAAUUUAGUAUAUUUAUAGAACGCACUCGUAUUAUGUCGCCCCGGGUAUCAGGGAGUAGGUGCAUGGAUCGAAUAAUCGAAUUAAAACCCCGAUUUUUCAGUGAAUAUAAAUACGUUAUACAGCUUCUUAUACCUCGGCUCCCCUGCGUUCUGUCCCGCAUUCCGCGCCACCCCCUCAACCCCCCCCCCCUAACUAGCUAUACAAUAUCAUCGCGCGGAUACCGGAUUUUACUCGCAUAAUGAAUAAUAAUUAUACACACACACACACAUAUAUUAUGUUUUUCGGUUCGAUUUUCUCGCGUGCACCUAUAAAUAUAUUUACAUAUUAUUAUACUUAUUAUUAUUACAC